CAGUCGCCGCGGUAAUACGAAGGGGGCUAGCGUUGUUCGGAUUUACUGGGCGUAAAGCGCACGUAGGCGGACUUUUAAGUCAGGGGUGAAAUCCCGGGGCUCAACCCCGGAACUGCCUUUGAUACUGGGAGUCUUGAGUUCGAGAGAGGUGAGUGGAAUUGCGAGUGUAGAGGUGAAAUUCGUAGAUAUUCGCAGGAACACCAGUGGCGAAGGCGGCCAUCUGGGACAACACUGACGCUGAGGCACGAAAGCGUGGGGAGCAAACAGGAUUAGAUACCCCUGUAGUCCCUGUCUCUUAUAC
rnacentral:rRNA from 1 species